rnacentral:rRNA from 1 species
GACGAACGCUGGCGGCGCGCUUAACACAUGCAAGUCGAGCGAGAACCGGGGCUUCGGCCCUGGGGACAGCGGCGAACGGGUGAGUAACACGUGGGUAAUCUGCCCUCGGCAUCGGGAUAGCCCGGGGAAACCCGGAUUAAUACCGAAUAGCCUCCGGAGCCUUCGGGCGCCGGAGAAAAGGUAGCUUCGGCCUCUGGCCGAGGAUGAGCCCGCGGCGGAUUAGCUUGUUGGCGGGGGAACGGCCCACCAAGGCGACGAUCCGUAGCUGGUCUGAGAGGACGAUCAGCCACACUGGGACUGAGACACGGCCCAGACUCCUACGGGAGGCAGCAGUGGGGAAUCUUGCGCUAACGCGGGAAACCGUGACGCAGCGACGCCGCGUGGGGGAAGAAGGCCUUCGGGUUGUAAACCUCUUUCAGGAGGGACGAAGCCACUCGGGUUAAUAGCCCAGAGGGUGACGGUACCUCCAGAAGAAGCCCCGGCUAACUACGUGCCAGCCGCCGCGGUAACAC